rnacentral:rRNA from 1 species
CGGUUGAUCCUGCCGGAGGCUACUGCUAUCGGGGUUCGAUUAAGCCAUGCGAGUUAAAUGUUCUUCGUGAACAUAGCGAACUGCUCAGUAACACGUGGAUAACCUACCCUUAGGUGGAGGAUACCCUCGGGAAACUGAGAAUAAUACUCCAUAGGCCUAGGAUGCUGGAAUGCACCUAGGCUGAGAGUUCCGGCGCCUAAGGAUGAGUCUGCGGACUAUCAGGUUGUAGUCAGGGUAAAGACCUGACUAGCCUACGACGGAUACGGGUUGUGAGAGCAAUAACCCGGAGAUGAUAUCUGAGACACGAUAUCAGGCCCUACGGGGCGCAGCAGGCGCGAAAACUUCACACUGUGCGAAAGCACGAUGAGGGAAUCCCAAGUGCUUGCACGUAAGUGUAAGCUGUUUUUCUGUCUAAAACACAGAGAGAGUAAGAGCUGGGUAAGACGGGUGCCAGCCGCCGCGGUAAUACCUGCAGCUCAAGUGGUGGCCGCUAUUAUUGGGCCUAAAACGUUCGUAGCCGGUUUAGUAAAUGCCUGGGUAAAUCGUGUAGCUUAACUAUACGAAUUCCGGGUAGACUGCUGAACUUGAGACCGGGAGAGGCUAGAGGUACUCCUGGGGUAGAGGUGAAAUUCUGUAAUCCUAGGGGGACCACCAGUGGCGAANGCGUCUAGCUAGAACGGAUCUGACGGUGAGGGACGAAGCCCUGGGGCGCGAACCGGAUUAGAUACCCGGGUAGUCCANGGUGUAAACGCUGCUUGCUUGAUGUUAGUUGGGCUCUGAGCCCGANUGGUGUCNGAGAGAAGUUGUUAAGCAAGCUGCCUGGGAAGUACGGUCGCAAGGCUGANCUUANANGANUUGGCGGGGGAGCAC